AGAAGUGCGAAUGCUGACAUAAGUAACGAUAAUGCGGGUGAAAAACCCGCACGCCGGAAGACCAAGGGUUCCUGUCCAACGUUAAUCGGGGCAGGGUGAGUCGACCCCUAAGGCGAGGCCGAAAGGCGUAGUCGAUGGGAAACAGGUUAAUAUUCCUGUACUUGGUGUUACUGCGAAGGGGGGACGGAGAAGGCUAUGUUAGCCGGGCGACGGUUGUCCCGGUUUAAGCAUGUAGGCGGAGGUUCCAGGUAAAUCCGGUACCUUUUUAACGCUGAGGUGUGAUGACGAGGCACUACGGUGCUGAAGUAACAAAUGCCCUGCUUCCAGGAAAAGCCUCUAAGCAUCAGGUAACACGAAAUCGUACCCCAAACCGACACAGGUGGUCAGGUAGAGAAUACCAAGGCGCUUGAGAGAACUCGGGUGAAGGAACUAGGCAAAAUGGUGCCGUAACUUCGGGAGAAGG
rnacentral:rRNA from 1 species